rnacentral:rRNA from 1 species
UACGUAGGGUGCAAGCGUUAAUCGGAAUUACUGGGCGUAAAGCGUGCGCAGGCGGUUGUGCAAGACAGAUGUGAAAUCCCCGGGCUUAACCUGGGAACUGCAUUUGUGACUGCACGGCUAGAGUGCGGCAGAGGGGGAUGGAAUUCCGCGUGUAGCAGUGAAAUGCGUAGAUAUGCGGAGGAACACCGAUGGCGAAGGCAAUCCCCUGGGCCUGCACUGACGCUCACGCACGAAAGCGUGGGGAGCAAACAGG